rnacentral:rRNA from 1 species
GAUGAACGCUGGCGGCGUGCCUAAUACAUGCAAGUCGAGCGAACAGACGAGGAGCUUGCUCCUCUGACGUUAGCGGCGGACGGGUGAGUAACACGUGGAUAACCUACCUAUAAGACUGGGAUAACUUCGGGAAACCGGAGCUAAUACCGGAUAAUAUAUUGAACCGCAUGGUUCAAUAGUGAAAGACGGUUUUGCUGUCACUUAUAGAUGGAUCCGCGCCGCAUUAGCUAGUUGGUAAGGUAACGGCUUACCAAGGCAACGAUGCGUAGCCGACCUGAGAGGGUGAUCGGCCACACUGGAACUGAGACACGGUCCAGACUCCUACGGGAGGCAGCAGUAGGGUAUCGUCCGCAAUGGGCGAAAGCCUGACGGAGCAACGCCGCGUGAGUGAUGAAGGUCUUCGGAUCGUAAAACUCUGUUAUUAGGGAAGAACAAAUGUGUAAGUAACUAUGCACGUCUUGACGGUACCUAAUCAGAAAGCCACGGCUAACUACGUG